rnacentral:rRNA from 1 species
GAUGAACGCUGGCGGCGUGCCUAAUACAUGCAAGUCGAGCGAACAGAUGAGGAGCUUGCUCCUCUGACGUUAGCAGCGGACGGGUGAGUAACACGGGGAUAACCUACCUAUAAGACGGGGAUAACUUCGGGAAACCGGAGCUAAUACCGGAGAAUAUAUUGAACCGCAUGGUGCAAUAGUGAAAGACGGUUUUGCUGUCACCUAUAGAUGGAUCCGCGCCGCAUUAGCUAGUUGGUAAGGUAACGGCUUACCAAGGCAACGAUGCGUAGCCGACCUGAGAGGGUGAUCGGCCACCCUGGAACUGAGACACGGUCCAGACUCCUACGGGAGGCAGCAGUAGGGAAUCUUCCGCAAUGGGCGAAAGCCUGACGGAGCAACGCCGCGUGAGUGAUGAAGGUCUUCGGAUCGUAAAACUCUGUUAUUAGGGAAGAACACAUGUGUAAGUAACUAUGCACGUCUUGACGGUACCUAAUCAGAAAGCCCCGGCUAACUACGUG